rnacentral:rRNA from 1 species
GAUGAACGCUGGCUACAGGCUUAACACAUGCAAGUCGAGGGGAAACGGCAUUGAGUGCUUGCACUGAAUGGACGUCGACCGGCGCACGGGUGAGUAACGCGUAUCCAACCUUCCCGUUACUGCGGGAUAACCUGCCGAAAGGCAGACUAAUACCGCAUGUUCUUCGCUGACGGCAUCAGUUUAGAAGCAAAGAUCCGUCGGUAAUGGAGGGGGAUGCGUCUGAUUAGCUAGUUGGCAGGGUGACGGCUCACCAAGGCGACGAUCAGUAGGGGAUCUGAGAGUAAGGUCCCCCAGAUUGGAACUGAGGCACAGACCAAACUCGUACGGGAGGCAGGAGAGAGGAAUAUUAGUCGAGGGGCGGAAGCCUGAACCAGCCAAGUGGCGUGCAAGAUGACGCGGCUACGGAUACUAUACUGCUUGGAAGCGAGGAUAAAGUGAGGGACGCGUCCCGUUUUGCAGGUACCGCAUGAAUAAGGACCGGCUAAUUCCGUG